UACGAAGGGGGGCUAGCGUUGCUCGGAAUCACUGGGCGUAAAGCGCACGUAGGCGGACUCUUAAGUCAGGGGUGAAAUCCUGGAGCUCAACUCCAGAACUGCCUUUGAUACUGGGAGCCUUGAGUUCGGGAGAGGUGAGUGGAACUGCGAGUGUAGAGGUGAAAUUCGUAGAUAUUCGCAAGAACACCAGUGGCGAAGGCGGCUCACUGGCCCGAUACUGACGCUGAGGUGCGAAAGCGUGGGGGAGCAAACAGG
rnacentral:rRNA from 1 species